rnacentral:rRNA from 1 species
CGUGUAGGCGGAUGCGUAAGUCCGGUGUAAAAGCCCCCGGCUCAACCGGGGAAAGCCAUCGGAUACUGCGUGUCUGGAGUGCGGGAGGGGAGAGUGGAACUCUUGGUGGAGCGGUGAAAUGCGUAGAUAUCAAGAGGAACGCCGGUGGCGAAAGCGGCUCUCUGGCCCGCAACUGACGCUGAGGCGCGAAAGCUAGGGGAGCAAACGGGAUUAGAUACCCCGGUAGUCCUAGCCCUAAACGAUGGGUACUAAGUAGGGGCGACUCCGAUGUUGUCUCUGCUGUAGCCAACGUGCUAAGUACCCCGCCUGGGGAGUACGGUCGCAAGGCUGAA